UCAUUAUUAUUGCAGAAAGAAGAAGAAUUUUGACACAGAAGAAUUAUGAGCGUUGGACCGACCAAGGUUAUUUUUUUCGAGCGUUGGAAUAUGUAUUUCUCAUUUUUACCAAUUCUCUUUCAGACUCGAAUAUUGAGAAUGUCGAUAUUUUAAUUUCUUCCUAUUUUUCCAAUUAAUAUAAUUUUUCUAUUAUAUAUCUCUCAUUUUUAUCAAUUCUUGUUUGGUUUCGAAUAUCGAGAGUAUCGAUAUUUCGAACCCGAUCACUGCUUGUAAGAGUAUCACUAGUGCCCAAUUCAAUUUCGAACAGUGAUGCCAUUUAUAGCGUAAAUGUCGUGCAAAAUCAUAACAUUUUUUAUAGUUUUUAUUACAAAAAAAUAUAAAACUAGGUAACGCACCAUAUAUCUUCCUAAAUUGGAAUUAAAAACACGAAUUUUAAGACAUUUCCAAAAUUGGUCCAUUUUUCUCAGAAAACCCACUCUGCUGAACAUUUACCCAGAGUAAGAAGCAGAAAAUACUCUUAAAUGUGUACGUUAAUAACUUGUUCGGAGUUUGCACCUUACUAAAUUUUGUGAAGAUAUCUUGUCAGUUAAAAAAGUUGUCCAUACCAGAAUUUGAUUUUGAACGGAGCUGUAGGACUAAACUUUCGGUCUGAAAAAAUGGAUAAUGAUACUGUUACAAAAGUAGUAUUAAGAUGUAUUUGUAUUGCUAUAUGCAUAUAUAUGGAAUAGCAUUUGUCUUGUUGUAGACAUCUGGCGCCGCAGCCGUCUGCUUGUCUACUUAAACAAUUGCUAAGUCUGGCGCCACGGCUGUCUGCAUUUGGCGCCGUAUAGCAUUAUGUUCUUGUAAUUUCCAGUCGCAAUAUUCUAGAAGGACACGUCGGCAUCAGCGAGAAGUGCGUGGCUAUAUAAGCCGUGGCAGCGCCAACGUAAUCAACCAGUGCUAAGAGUAAACUGAUAUAGUGUAGACGAGUUGUAAAAUAAAUAGAUUUUGUUGAAGUGAAUUAAACGGCUUUUAUUUUUAUUUGUCAAUCCAGAGAUACGAACCUAGUAAAGUAAAACUAGCAAGGAGUAAAUUCGUAACAGUAUUAAGAAAAGAAAAAAGCAAGCAAAGGACGUCUUCGUCGCUGCUUUUUUGCUAAUUUUACAAACUUAUGAAAAUGAAAGAAAUGCAAACAGGAGAAGUUUGGCACACUUAUGGAAUAGUGAGGAUCCAUUUUUAUUGGAGGAAGCAACAUUUAGAAAAUAUUUUCGUUUUCCGAAAUUGUUGUAUUGGGACUUUAUGCAGGAAUUGAAACCUCGCGAUAAUCGUUUCCAAAAGUCUGCUACUCCUUUUGAGAUUCGGUUCGUUUCAGUGCUAUAUUUUCUUUUCAAGUGGCUCAUACCAAUACUGCAUUGGAAAUAGCCAUUUAUCUGCCAUGAGUCAACCUAGCAUAUCUCGAAGUACAAGGCAUAUAUGCAAACUUGUGUUGGAGCACAAAAAUGUGGAUACAAGCUUCCCAAAUGCAACAAAGCACUAAAACAAAAUUAAAAUGGGUUUCCAUAAUAAGUUUGGAAUAAAAGGAGUGAUUGGUGCAAUAAUUGGACCGUCUUUGUCGUCUAACGUUAUUCCACAUUGUUUAAAUGAGUUAAGCAUCUACCCACUCUACCCGGGAAAACUGGCGCACCCUAAUGAUACAGCUUGAUUUACCACAGUUGAUACGCAACCAAACUCACCACACCUGUACUUCAACCCAACCAACAAAAGGAAAGGACAACGGAAAAACUAACACUUUUUCGACAGCUCAAUUCGCACAUCAUAAUUCGUAUACAUAUUUGCUAUCAACGUUCGUCAGCUACCUUCGUUCCUUUUAAUAAAAGUUUUUUUUUCGAUCAUACGCGGCGCUACGUAAAUCCCUCCUGCGAUCCUUCAUCGGUCCAGUGUGCUGCUUGCAUCCACCCCGCUCCGGGCACCUAUGUACAUACAUUCGUCGUCCACAUACAUCCAAUUUAUAAUUUUUAUAAGAAUUUAAUAACAAUAAUAAUCAUUGUGAACACAUUAGUUAUAUUGAAUGCUUGUAAAUUUUAACCUGUGUCCAUUUUUUAUUACAUAAUUGUUAAAGUGAUUAACACCCUUGUGUGCAAGUUUGGGCAGCAAAAUAAGCAUGGUCCUUCGAGCCUUACAGAAAGGCACUAUUGGAUUUUAAAGUAAAAAUCUAAAAAAGAAAAAAUAAAACAGAACAAAAGUGUGGUGACGAAAACAGUGUAAAUAAAAACAAACCAAAAAAAAAACAUGCAUACUCACAUACGUAUGUAUAUACAUAUGACGGAGUGCGAAUAAAAGUGAAAUUUAAAAACUUAAAGUGCCGUGGAGCAAACAAAAGUACAAUAAGUGCAGUGACACAAAACAAAAAUACUAUAUUUACAUAAAUACAUACAUACAUAUAUAAAAAACAAAAAAAAAACAACCAAAUCAAAAGACCGCAGCACAACAAAAAGGAAAUUAAGCACGUUUCAACAAACAAAAACAAACGUCUCGCGAAACUUUCAAACUAAAAAUAAAAAACAUAAAUCGGGCGGGAAAAGCUAAAUCACCAAUAAAACGAAACGAACGGGAGCGAACAUUAAAACAAAUAUACUAAUAGUACAUACAUACAACAAAACAACAGCACGAGGAGGUAGCCAGCUGGAGCACAGGAAUUAGAACAAGGCGAACAGACAAAUCAGCUGGAAACGGUUCGGAGAGGAGCACAUACAUAAAAACAUACAUAUAUACAACAUGUGCCAAGUGAGCGUAUCAAGUCCUUUAAUAUAUGGUAUAUGUAUACACAUAAACAUAAAUUCAAAUAUCUAACUAUUCGAAGCCUACUUACUAGCUUAACUUGGAUGGCAUACAACCAUACGAAUUCAAGCAUUUCUUUUCGUAAAAUUUCCAGCAGUACCCUUAUGUUUUAUAAAGCAUUAAGCACGACUUCAUACAACAAGUAAGAAAAGGCAAAAGUAGUCGAAAGUAUAAAAUAAAAGACAAAAACGGAAAAUAAAUAUAUUAUAUCUGCAUAUAUACAUAUGUAUGUACAGCAAAACAUAUUUUCUUUUUUUUUUCAAUUCCGUUUUAAAUCUCUCUCUCACUUCUUCAAAAAAAAUAUGAUAACAUUUAUAUACAAAUAUACGUUAAAGAAUCUGCCUGUGACACUAAACAAAAUCUCAUAUAUUACAUAUUAACACAUUAGUACACACAAAUAUUUAAAGUCCACAUUUACAAUUAUCGGCAAUACCUCUUGUUCUUUGGCAAACAAAAACAAGCAGGAUUGUGUACACACAAACAAUUUGUGCAUAGCGCACUGAUCUCUUCAACGAGCUCUCAACUGCACAAAACAUAAGCACAGUUGUCCAAGUGUUAGGGUGUACCUAAAUACAAAUCAUUCGGACAUCAAAUAUUUUAAUUAAUAAAAAGUACGUUU